CUGUAGCUGCGUUAGGGAUUGUAGUGAAAAUCCUUUUGUGAGGUACGAGCAAGAAGAUUGUAGCGUAAAGCCCGACCCUUG
rnacentral:sRNA from 1 species